CUCAUUAAUGCUUUUUCUCUUUCUCAUCCCCCAACCUCAUCAAAUUUUUCCCAGACUGUUUGUAUCCCUUUUUUUUUCAAUUUGGUCUAUCCUCAUUGUCCAAUAAACAAUGUUCAUUCCCACUAGCACCCCACCCCAAUCCGUCUUCCAUUUACUCCUCUCCAGUUUCCAAACGUCCCCUCCUCGAUAUAUUCUGCCACCACCGCCCCUUUGCCCUAUUGUCUGUGUGCAUUCCCACUAUUCUCUCUAACUGCCAUUUUCCCUCUCAUCUCCAUAUCAGAACCCUUCUCCCCCAUACUCUACUGCUAGAUUACAUGCAACCUCUCUUCAAGCCCAAGAAUUAAUUUCUCUUCUAUCGGUGGCUCUCCUCCUCAUCCCUCCGUUCACUUCUCUGUUGCACAGUAUCCCUUCCCUCAGAUUAUCUCCAUUAUCUCCAAGCCCCAUUCACGAGUGAGAGAGGGAGACAAAAAAUGAGAGAACGGAUCGAAGGUGAUUCAGAGUUUCUGGGUUCGUUGGCUUCUUCUCUCGCUAGCAACGAAUAUGAGAUCUCCGUUGGGUUCAAGCUGUGAAGGUUUUGUUUUGUGCUUCCCUCUGUCGCUGCCAACAUCUCUAUUAGUUAGACCCAAUGGCUCUCUCAUCUGUUAAAGCUUUAAUUUUAGUCUUCACAUAAAGCUCUGCUCGCGAUUGGAAGGGAAAGGGACACAUUUUUGGGCAAUUAACACCAUGAUUAUUCUCCUCUGGAAUUGUAUCAAUUAUUUCCUUUCUAGAGGAAAGGAGAACAAUAUGGCAGAUCUUCCAUUGUGACAAUUGGUCCAUCAUAACUUUUCCAAUCACAUGGGCAAAAUCUGCGGUGUAUCAGCAGGCCGGAGCAUUUUCAGACUCAGCAACUUCUUCCAGAAGUUGCUUUUGCUCCGUUGAAACACAAGACUGAUUUUCUUUAUGAACUACAAAUUUGACAAAUCAAUCCAUUUGUAGGAUUACUGGACAUGUGGCCGAUUGGAGUUUUUACAGAACCAGAAAUAACAGAUAAAUUUAUAAGGGUGAUGCUUUAUGGGCAUAUGGAUAGGACUACAGGAUCAAUGGUGUGGCUGUGACUGCCUAGGGGUUAAAAUUCAAAUUAAUUUAGUAUUUGCUUGCUGUUCUGACCACUGACAACUUCAUCAUGGAAAAUGUUGCUUUGUGUAGUGAUACUUUUUUUCAUGAAGAAUGAUGUGCAAUUCAAGACCUGGAAACAUAUGGUAUACUGGGGAAAAUGCUCACUGCUUUGAACCCUGUUCUGUUUACGGAAAUGAAACAGGAUAUUAUCGAUGGGUGUUUGAUUUCUAAAGGGGCUUGGAGGGAUUCAUUUUGUGUUUGGCAGCACUCUUGGAGCUUUUUUCCUGUUGUGGUAUUCGCGAGAUUCACCCUGUCCACCAUGGCAGACGCCACCGUGCUCUCCUUAGCUGGAUACUGCUACGACACUGUUUUGGACUGGCUGUUGUGUUUUCACGACAUAGUAAACCAAUGUGAUUGAAAGAUGGAAAAAGGAACGGAAGCUCAAUGUUAUCAGAAUGAAAAUAAGAGCUUAGAGGAAUGCAUAUGAUGGUUGAAAGAAGAAUAUGUAGUUCCACAUGAGAAAUAGAGGGAGUUGGGUUUUGUGUUCAGGUUCACAGCUACCACCCCAAGAGCAUGUUUUGCUGUGAGUUGACUUGGGACACAGCUUUUUCCUCUUCCCCGACGAGCUGCCACAGCUGCAGAGAAGAGAAGUUGGACCUUCUCUGAAUUUUUAGUGUUCUUGAAUGUUUUAAGAGUUCAUAUUUUGUAUGUGAAAGAGAAGAGAAAGUCAAAGCAACAUAACAACCAAUGUUUAAUGACAUCUGAAAGAGCAAGAGAAAUAGCUAGAUCGUGAAUAUAUUAAGAGCAAUUGUUGUGGGUGUUUUGAUUUUUUAAGCUAUGGGUGUAUGCAUAUGCUGACACCUUUGAAUUCAGAGGAGAUGAUUAAAGGUAACUUUGUAAUUAUGAACCAUGGUGAAACUUUAAUGACGUAUGAGAAUAUUUGGCAUUAUUCUAAUAAUAUAUACUAAUUUCUCAGGAA